rnacentral:rRNA from 1 species
AGAGUUUGAUCAUGGCUCAGAUUGAACGCUGGCGGCAUGCCUUACACAUGCAAGUCGAACGGCAGCACGGGAGCAAUCCUGGUGGCGAGUGGCGAACGGGUGAGUAAUAUAUCGGAACGUGCCCAGUAGUGGGGGAUAGCCCGGCGAAAGCCGGAUUAAUACCGCAUACGACCUGUGGGUGAAAGCGGGGGAUCGCAAGACCUCGCGCUAUUGGAGCGGCCGAUAUCAGAUUAGCUUGUUGGUGGGGUAAAAGCCCACCAAGGCGACGAUCUGUAGCUGGUCUGAGAGGACGACCAGCCACACUGGGACUGAGACACGGCCCAGACUCCUACGGGAGGCAGCAGUGGGGAAUUUUGGACAAUGGGCGCAAGCCUGAUCCAGCCAUGCCGCGUGUGGGAAGAGGGCCUUCGGGUUGUAAAGCCCUUUCGACAGGGACGAUGAUGACGGUACCUGUAGAAGAAGCCCCGGCUAACUUCGUGCCAGCAGCCGCGGUAAUACGG